CUUUUCUGUCGUAAAUUUGUGGACGUCUUGAACCAAAAUGGAUUCAUACAAGAAUUCUGUGCGAUUAAUAGGCCAGUAAACUAAGGUCGUCUGUUCAGAGACCAGAAAAAGACGAUAUUUAUCUGCGAUCUAAUAUUAGUGAAGAGAACGUUCUAUUUCAAUCUCAGGAGUUGUGAGAUUGACUUGGCGACGGAACAGUGACUUCCUACAAAUAUUGUGGUUUUAUGCAGUUACCAGGGAUCGAAUUUGGCUCGUCCAUGUUUGGGAAGCGUCCGCCCCACCCACUAGAAUGAACGACGCUCUAAGUACUGAUGAUAUAGGAAAUAUUGUACUUUUUGGGGACUUUGAGUGAUUCAUCACCCUUUGCACAAAUGCAUUUUGAGAUUCUCAAAGGAAUCCUAGAUUUGUCAAGAAGCCAUGUGUAUUAAUUGCUUCCCAUCAAAUAGUACAGUGUCUUUGUGUAAAUUAUAUUCAUUUUGAGGAAAUAGCUGGUGUGCAGUGUACAUUCCUAAAUGAAUUCAUCAGUUUACAUUAAGGAUCUACCUUCAAAUCCUGUAAUCUGGGAUGCUCUAAAGUGCAUGUCACAGACUAAAGUUAUAAAAAUAACUUCCAAGAAUUUUUAAGAAAUUGUUAUAACUUUAAAAUGUAUGAAUAUAUACUGAUAUUGAAUUAAAUUUUAUAAAAUGUCA